UACGUAGGUGGCAAGCGUUGUCCGGAUUUACUGGGUGUAAAGGGCGUGCAGCCGGGCUGACAAGUCAGAUGUGAAAUCCCGCGGCUCAACCGCGGAACUGCAUUUGAAACUGUCAGUCUUGAGUACCGGAGAGGUCAUCGGAAUUCCUUGUGUAGCGGUGAAAUGCGUAGAUAUAAGGAAGAACACCAGUGGCGAAGGCGGAUGACUGGACGGCAACUGACGGUGAGGCGCGAAAGCGUGGGUAGCAAACAGG
rnacentral:rRNA from 1 species